rnacentral:rRNA from 1 species
UACGGGGGGGGUAAGCGUUGUUCGGAAUUACUGGGCGUAAAGGGCUCGUAGGCGGCCAACUAAGUCAUACGUGAAAUCCCUCAGCUUAACUGGGGAACUGCGUGUGAUACUGGAUGGCUUGGAUUUGGGAGAGGGAUGCGGAAUUCCAGGUGUAGCGGUGAAAUGCGUAGAUAUCAGGAGGAAUACCGGUGGCGAAGGCGGGUCUCUGGGCAGUAACUGACGCUGAGGAGCGAAAGUGUGGGGAGCGAACAGG